GGGUUGNAGNUAAUUGNUCCUGGGGGNAAACCUGUCCUGNAUGGAGGGGGGAUAACUACCUGGNAAACGGUAGCCUAAUACCGCCAUAACGUCUUCGGACCAAAGUGGGGGACCUUCGGGCCUCAUGCCAUCAGAUGUGCCCAGAUGGGAUUAGCUAGUAGGUGGGGUAAAGGCUCACCUAGGCGACGAUCCCUAGCUGGUCUGAGAGGAUGACCAGCCACACUGGAACUGAGACACGGUCCAGACUCCUACGGGAGGCAGCAGUGGGGAAUAUUGCACAAUGGGCGCAAGCCUGAUGCAGCCAUGCCGCGUGUAUGAAGAAGGCCUUCGGGUUGUAAAGUACUUUCAGCGAGGAGGAAGGGAUUGUGGUUAAUAACCGCAGUCAUUGACGUUACUCGCAGAAGAAGCACCGGCUAACUCCGUGCCAGCAGCCGCGGUAAUACGGAGGGUGCAAGCGUUAAUCGGAAUUACUGGGCGUAAAGCGCACGCAGGCGGUUUGUUAAGUCAGAUGUGAAAUCCCCGGGCUCAACCUGGGAACUGCAUUUGAAACUGGCAGGCUUGAGUCUCGUAGAGGGGGGUAGAAUUCCAGGUGUAGCGGUGAAAUGCGUA
rnacentral:rRNA from 1 species